rnacentral:rRNA from 1 species
UAUUUCGACGAUAGCACUUUAAAUGCUCCAAGUCCCUAUGGAUCACUGAAAUUAAGCAAAGUUGAGCGUGGUUAUUUCCCGGAUGGGUGACCAAUUGGGCAAUCUCUUGCCGCUGACUUUC